CGGCGGACGGGUGAGUAACGCGUGGGCAACCUGCCUCAUACAGGGGGAUAACAGUUAGAAAUGACUGCUAAUACCGCAUAAGACCGCGGUACCGCAUGGUACAGCGGUAAAAACUCCGGUGGUAUGAGAUGGGCCCGCGUCUGAUUAGCUAGUUGGCGGGGUAACGGCCCACCAAGGCGACGAUCAGUAGCCGACCUGAGAGGGUGACCGGCCACAUUGGGACUGAGACACGGCCCAAACUCCUACGGGAGGCAGCAG
rnacentral:rRNA from 1 species